UUUCUUAAUAUAAAAUUUAGGAAGAAAAAAUGUACCUUGAGUUGAGCCAAUGCAAGAGGGGUAUGGGUCAAGAAUUUGACAGCAAGUGUCAUGAUAGUUGAAGUAGUCUCAUAGCCAGCAACAAGCAAAGCCACC